GGGCCGGUGGUCUAGUGGCUAUGACGACGCGCUUACAACGCGUAGAUCGGCAGUUCGAUUCUGCCCCGGCCCA
rnacentral:tRNA from 1 species